UACGUAGGCAGCGAGCGUUGUUCGGAGUUACUGGGCGUAAAGGGUGUGUAGGCGGUUGUUUUAAGUUUGGUGUGAAAUCUCCCGGCUCAACCGGGAGGGUGCGCCGAAUACUGAAUGACUUGGAGUGCGGGAGAGGAAAGUGGAAUUCCUGGUGUAGCGGUGAAAUGCGUAGAUAUCAGGAGGAACACCGGUGGUGUAGACGGCUUUCUGGACCGUAACUGACGCUGAGACACGAAAGCGUGGGUAGCAAACAGG
rnacentral:rRNA from 1 species